GCCUUCAUAGCUCAGUGGUACGAGCGCCGCACUUGUAAUGCGAAGGUUCAUAGUUCAAUCCUACGUGGAGCCA
rnacentral:tRNA from 1 species